ensembl:lncRNA
AUAUACAGGGGGUACCAGUACAGAGUCAAUGUAGAGGCUAUAUACAGGGGGUACCGGUACAGAGUCAAUGUAGAGGCUAUAUACAGGGUGUUAUGGUACAGAGUCAAUGUGGAGACUAUAUACAGGGUGUUACGGUACAGAGUCAAUGUGGAGGCUAUAUACAGGGGGUACCGGUACAGAGUCAAUGUGGAGGCUAUAUACAGGGGGUACCGGUACAGAGUCAAUGUGGAGACUAUAUACAGGGUGUUACGGUACAGAGUUAAUGUGGAGGCUAUAUACAGGGGGUACCGGUACAGAGUCAAUGUGGAGACUAUAUACAGGGGGUACCGGUACAGAGUCAAUGUGGAGGCUAUAUACAGGGGGUACCGGUACAGAGUCAAUGUGGAGACUAUAUACAGGUGGUACCGGUACAGAGUCAAUGUGGAG